CUCCAGGACAGACUGGGCUCGGGGUGAAACCCAGGGGCUCCUGGCUGUGCCAGGCUCCGGGAGUCGCUGAGCUCUAUCCAAGCAGACAACCUGGCUCUGGGGGAGAAGCUGCAAGACCUGGUGAGACCCUCAGCCCGGGCCCCCUGCCUCUGUUUUGCCUCCUCCCCCGGCUCCCAGCCCAGCUCCUGUGCUGGCAGGUCGCAGGCAGUCCUGCCUGGGGUCGGCUGCCCACCUCUGGCCCUGGCAACCCCUUGUUCCAGCCCAACUCCUUGUAUAUGAGCCUAAAGGAGAAAGCGAAGUGCAUCCUGGAGGGAGAGAGCGCCGUGGAGGAGGGAGCCCAGGCCGGCCAGGAGGAGGCGCUGUGCCAGCCACCCGGCUCCCAGAAGGCCGAACUCGUCACCCUGCAGCCUGACACUCCCCGAGAUCACGGAGACCGAUGUCCGCCCUAGCCGGGACACCCCCCGGGGAAGCCUUUCCGGCCGCUCCUCUCCCCCUCCCGCAGUAAACUUCUCCGCAGCUGGGUCGCGGCUCCCCGCCUGUCUGUGGGCCCUGGGAACCGGGAGGCGCAGGCGCCAAGCAUGGUCCCUAGGCCAUCCUCUCGCAUCCCCCUCCCACAUCCGUUGGCUGGCCCCGGCAGCCCCGGAGGAGGUUCCAGGCUGGUUGGUAUCAGCCUCAAAAUCAGCGUCCAGGUGAUAAGGGCUAGGGUGGGACUGGAGGGGGCCGCACCCACGGCUGGGGAGCUGGAGAGGACGGAAGCACCAGGUCUAACUCCAAAGGGCAGAAGACUAGGGAGGGGCUGGAAGACACCGUGGAUAAGUCUCUUCCUCUUUGUCAGCCACGGGGGAGGGGGUAGUGAGACCCCACUCCCCAAGGGCCCAACAUCCAAACAAUUUCAGGCCUGGAGAUGCUUCUAGAAUUUGAAUUCCUACUCGCACCUCCAGCCAGGGCCUCCUAGGGCUUCCCUGGAGACCUGCACCCCUUCACCAAUGGGGUGAUCCCUGUUCUGGGCCACAGAUCCCAUGCCCCACCCAUCCAUAGGCCUGCAUAUCCAGCUGUGGCCACUGUGCCCUGGUCACCAUCAGGCCUUCAAGGGCUUGUGCCCAUCAGCCUUGCUGCCCUCAGACUCUGACCAGCCCUGGGGAGCCUUUCUAGGCAUCCCCUGGCUCCUGAUAAAACGAGAAAGAAAGAGACACAGAGACACGCAGAGAAUGUAUAGAUAGAAUAUUAAAACAAACUUAGAAAUUAUUCCCAUACAACUAGACGAGGAGCCUGCUUUAGAUUUUGUUUUUUUAACUCCCUAUUGAGGGAGCUGACAGCCAGCAAUGACAAAGCCAGUUUAAAGGUGGAGGAGUUCCUGUCGUGGCUCAGUGCUUGG